rnacentral:rRNA from 1 species
UACGGAGGGUGCGAGCGUUGUUCGGAAUUAUUGGGCGUAAAGCGCGUGUAGGCGGUUUUUAUAAGUCUGAUGUGAAAGCCCCCGGGCGUCAACCUGGGAACGUGCGUUUGGUAACUACAAGACUAGAGUGUGUCAGAGGGGGGUGGGAAUUCCGCGUGUAGCAGUGAAAUAGCGUAGAGAUGCGGAGGAACACCGAUGGCGAAGGCGGCUGCCUGGACCGAUACUGACGCUGAGACGCGAAAGCGUGGGGAGCAAACAGGAUUAGAAACCCUAGUAGU